AGAGUUUGAUCAUGGCUCAGAACGAACGCUGGCGGCAGGCCUAACACAUGCAAGUCGGACGAGCUGGGACCUUCGGGUCCCGAUGCUAGUGGCGCACGGGUGAGUAACACGUGGGAAUCUACCCAAUAGUACGGAAUAACUGAGGGAAACUUUGGCUAAUACCGUAUACGCCCUUCGGGGGAAAGAUUUAUCGCUAUUGGAUGAGCCCGCGUCUGAUUAGGUAGUUGGUGAGGUAACGGCUCACCAAGCCAACGAUCAGUAGCUGGUCUGAGAGGAUGAUCAGCCACACUGGGACUGAGACACGGCCCAGACUCCUACGGGAGGCAGCAGUGGGGAAUAUUGGACAAUGGGCGCAAGCCUGAUCCAGCCAUGCCGCGUGAGUGAAGAAGGCCUUCGGGUUGUAAAGCUCUUUCGGCGGGGACGAUGAUGACGGUACCCGCAUAAGAAGCCCCGGCAAACUUCGUGCCAGCAGCCGCGGUAAUACGAAGGGGGCUAGCGUUGUUCGGAAUUACUGGGCGUAAAGCGAACGUAGGCGGUGUUCCAUGUCAGAGGUGAAAGCCUGGGGCUCAACUCCAGAAUUGCCUUUGAAACGGGGACGCUUGAGUCCGAGAGAGGAUGGCGGAAUUCCUAGUGUAGAGGUGAAAUUCGUAGAUAUUAGGAAGAACACCGGGCGAAGGCGGCCAUCUGGCUCGGUACUGACGCUCAGGUUCGAAAGCGUGGGGAGCAAACAGGAUUAGAUACCCUAGUAGUCC
rnacentral:rRNA from 1 species